rnacentral:rRNA from 1 species
AAAGGAAUAGACGGGGGCCCGCACAAGCAGCGGAGCAUGUGGUUUAAUUCGAGGCAACGCGAAGAACCUUACCUGGACUUGACAUCUCCUGAAUUACCCUUAAUCGGGGAAGCCCUUCGGGGCAGGAAGACAGGUGGUGCAUGGUUGUCGUCAGCUCGUGUCGUGAGAUGUUGGGUUAAGUCCCGCAACGAGCGCAACCCCUAUUGUCAGUUGCUACCAUUCAGUUGAGCACUCUGGCAAGACUGCCCGGGUUAACCGGGAGGAAGGUGGGGAUGACGUCAAAUCAUCAUGCCCCUUACGUCCAGGGCUACACACGUGCUACAAUGGCAGGUACAAAGAGCAGCGAACUCGCGAGAGCCAGCCAAUCUCAUAAAACCUGCCCCAGUUCAGAUUGCAGGCUGCAACUCGCCUGCAUGAAGUCGGAGUUGCUAGUAAUCGCGAAUCAGCAUGUCGCGGUGAAUACGUUCCCGGGCCUUGUACACACCGCCCGU